rnacentral:rRNA from 1 species
GAUGAACGCUGGCGGCGUGCCUAAUACAUGCAAGUCGAGCGAACGGACGAGAAGCUUGCUUCUCUGAUGUUAGCGGCGGGCGGGUGAGUAACACGUGUAUAACCUACCUAUAAGACUGGGAUAACUUCGGGAAACCGGAGCUAAUACCGUAUAAUAUUUUGAACCGCAGGGUUCAAAAGUGAAAGACGGUCUUGCUGUCACUUAUAGAUGGAUCCGCGCUGCAUUAGCUAGUUGGUAAGGUAACGGCUUACCAAGGCAACGAUGCAUAGCCGACCUGAGAGGGUGGUCGGCCACACUGGAACUGAGACACGGUCCAGACUCCUACGGGAGGCAGCAGAAGGGAAUCUUCCGCAAUGGGCGAAAGCCUGACGGAGCAACGCCGCGUGAGUGAUGAAGGUCUUCGGAUCGUAAAACUCUGUUAUUAGGGAAGAACAUAUGUGUAAGUAACUGUGCACAUCUUGACGGUACCUAAUCAGAAAGCCACGGCUAACUACGUG